UACGGAGGAUUCGAGCGUUAUCCGGAUUUAUUGGGUUUAAAGGGUGCGCAGGCGGGCUAUUAAGUCAGUGGUGAAAUUUUGAAGCUCAACUUCAAAACUGCCGUUGAUACUGGUGGUCUUGAGAGAUGACGAAGUAGGCGGAAUGUGAUGUGUAGCGGUGAAAUGCUUAGAUAUGUCACAGAACACCGAUUGCGAAGGCAGCUUACUAGGGAUCUUCUGACGCUGAGGCACGAAAGCAUGGGUAU
rnacentral:rRNA from 1 species